GAUGAACGCUGGCGGCGUGCCUAAUACAUGCAAGUAGAACGCUGAAGGAAGGAGCUUGCUCUUUCCGGAUGAGUUGCGAACGGGUGAGUAACGCGUAGGUAACCUGCCUGGUAGCGGGGGAUAACUAUUGGAAACGAUAGCUAAUACCGCAUAACAGUAGAUGUUGCAUGAUAUCUACUUAAAAGGUGCAAUUGCACCACUACCAGAUGGACCUGCGUUGUAUUAGCUAGUUGGUGAGGUAACGGCUCACCAAGGCGACGAUACAUAGCCGAACUGAGAGGGUGAGCGGCCACACUGGGAGUGUGACACGGCCCAGACUCCUACGGGAGGCAGCAGGAGGGAAUCUUCGGCAAGGGGCGGAAGUCUGACCGAGCAACGCCGAGUGAGUGAAGAAGGGUGUCGGAUCGUAAAGCUCUGUUGUAAGGGAAGAACGAGUGUGAGAGUGGAAAGUUCACACUGUGACGGUAUCUUACCAGAAAGGGACGGCUAACUACGUG
rnacentral:rRNA from 1 species